AGUGGCGAACGGGUGAGUAAUACAUCGGAACGUGCCCAGUAAUGGGGGAUAGCUCGGCGAAAGCCGGAUUAAUACCGCAUACGCCCUGAGGGGGAAAGUGGGGGACCGCAGGGCCUCACGUUAUUGGAGCGGCCGAUGGCUGAUUAGCUAGUUGGUAGGGUAAAGGCCUACCAAGGCGACGAUCAGUAGCUGGUCUGAGAGGACGAUCAGCCACACUGGGACUGAGACACGGCCCAGACUCCUACGGGAGGCAGCAGUGGGGAAUUUUGGACAAUGGGGGAAACCCUGAUCCAGCAAUGCCGCGUGUGCGAAGAAGGCCUUCGGGUUGUAAAGCACUUUUGUCAGGGAAGAAAUCCUUUGGGCUAAUACCCUAGGGGGAUGACGGUACCUGAAGAAUAAGCACCGGCUAACUACGUGCCAGCAGCCGCGGUAAUACGUAUGGUGCAAGCGUUAAUCGGAAUUACUGGGCGUAAAGCGUGCGCAGGCGGUUGUGUAAGACAGGUGUGAAAUCCCCGGGCUUAACCUGGGAAUUGCAUUUGUGACUGCACGACUAGAGUGUGUCAGAGGGGGGUGGAAUUCCAC
rnacentral:rRNA from 1 species